rnacentral:rRNA from 1 species
AUUGAACGCUGGCGGCAGGCUUAACACAUGCAAGUCGAACGCGUGGCGGACGGGUGAGUAAUGCUUGUGAAUCUAUCUUCUGGCGGGGGAUAACUACGGGAAACUGUAGCUCAUACCGCGUACCAUAGUAUGAGCCCAGAUGGGGUUAGGUAGUUGGUGGGGUAAAGGCUCACCAAGCCGACGAUCUCUAGCUGGUCUGAGAGGAUGACCAGCCACACUGGGACUGAGACACGGCCCAGACUCCUACGGGAGGCAGCAGUGGGGAAUAUUGCGCAAUGGGGGCAACCCUGACGCAGCCAUGCCGCGUGAAUGAAGAAGGCCUUCGGGUUGUAAAGUACUUUCAGCGGGGAGGCGUUACCCGCAGAAGAAGCACCGGCUAACUCCGUGCCAGCAGCCGCGGUAAUAC